AAUGCAGACGCUCAUCUCGCCCGUGAGCAAGGCGCUGCUGGUGGGUCUGUUCAUCUUCGCCAUCCUGCUCAUCCUCUACGUCAUCCUCUGGUACAUCUGCCGCGACGUCGACUGCGACCACGGACUCUGAGGCCUCGAACCCCCCCCUAACAACAACAACAACAACAAUAACAAUAAUCAUCAUCAUAAGCAGCCCACCAGCCUCCCCUGAAACGCAGCCAACCAAAGCCGCGAUAGAAGCCGAGCGGCGGAGAGAGAGACAGACAAACCCCUGCAGCCCUGCUCCAGCACUCGUGAAGCUUCGCCCCUGCAGGUGGGGACCAGGGGCUUGAACCCGGGUCCUUGUGCCUGGGAACAGGUGCCCUCAGCCAGGAGCCAUGGCCCAGGACGCCCGGCCCCCCGAGACCCGCCGGGCCCAGAAGCCUGGACGCCCAGGAGGACGGGGCCGCCCGUGAAGAGGCCCGGCCCGGCGUCACCCAGCACCCAGCACCCAGCACCCACCCGGGCGCCAUGCCGACCGUCUGCCACCCACAGUGCUUUUCUCCCGGUGCCAUUUCAGGGGGUCCCCCGGGCAGGGUGGGGGCCCCGUGUCGCUGUAAUCCCCCACACCCCCAUCCAUCCGUCUGUCCAGCGUUCAGCUGUGC